GUGUUCAGGGCCCGGGGUUGUGUGCAGAACCAGGGUUCCAUGAUUUGCCUGUCUCUGCUGUGCGAGGCCGUGUCUCUCUGCGUUCUCCAUCCUCCUCAUUGCGGCCUUCUCUCUGCCCUCUUCCUCUCGUCUGCCUGCUUCCACCCCUCUUCCUGCCCUCCUUUCGGUGGCACAUCCUUUUUCUCAUUUCUCCGUUUCGGUUGCUUCUCUCUCCCUUCCCCUCCCCGGGGGGUUGCGCUCCCUCCGUUCUUUUCCGGCAUUUUUCUGCAGGAGUUAGCACGCCCUCAGCGAUUUCAAGUUAUGGAGGCGAUGGCUCCUGAUGAGACGGACCAAGGUCGUCGGCGAAAGGUCGUCGGUGAGGGGGAGGAUCUAGAGGAUGCGCUGCAAGACCAGAUACGAGCGACGGAACAGGAGAUAAGAGCGACGGAACAUGAGAUAAGAGCGAAGAAAGAGGAGAUAAGAGGGCUCAGGGCGGAAAUCAGAGCUCAGAGCGGAGAUAAGUGAGCUCAGAGCGGAGAUAAGUGAGCUUAGUGCGGAGAUCAGAGUUGUGGAAUCGGAGAUUGCUGCUGCUUCGGGAGAUAAAGCGAAAAAGCCUCUUGAAGCAAAGCUGCAAUUCCUACGCCAACAGAUAGUCAGCCUUGGCUCACAGAUUAGCAGCCGCGAUCAGCAGAUAGUCAGCCUUACCUCACAGAUUAGCAGCCUUGGCUCACAGAUUAGCAGCCGCGAUCAACAGGUAGUCAGUCUUCGGUCUUUGCAAGCAGCGGCGGCAUCGUCAGGUGUGUAAUCUUAGAAAGAAUCUGGAUCCUGGAUCUGUCAGAUGAUUCUUGUGUGCUCUUGUAUGCCUACUUGUUGCUUAGGGUAGUAUGCUUACUUACGCUUGUGAGAACAUGCUUUUGUGGUGGACUGAUUAGGGUUGAAGGCAGAAUAAGCAGGUCUGGUAUAAGUUUCUUCCCUGCGUUCACCCAUCAGGGUGUCAGAUAGUACUCUAUUCUUGGCACUUAGUUUGCUUCAGUUUGCCCUGCGUUGUGUACGCAUUAUCAUCACCUGGGGUGUCGGGUUUUGAAUAGCAGGUAGUGUUUCCUGACAUCUUUGUUCCAUUCUUUGGCAACUUUGGUGCUGACUAAUUUUAGGUGUCCGAUUUUUCCAAACUUAGAAACCUCUAUUAUCUCUCAUCGCACGUUUUGAAGGGUGCAAUUUAUCUUGAGAAGCGGCAGAAGCGCUACUCUUGCAAGUGCGAGGCCCCUGGAUGUUUAGUUUAACCAUUGGUUUUUUAUUUGAAUUACUGGAUUGCAUGUGCAGACAAAUGCACAGAGUUUGAUUGGCUACGUCAGGACUUGCCGUCGUGGGUCUCAGGGAACUCCAAGCCUCCAAGCGCCAAGCAGAAGGAGCGGAUGUACACGCCCGUGAGAGUGGAGUAUUGGGAUGUGGUGAAAGACAUCGAACACUAUCUGAACAAGGCGGAUAAGUUGAAGCGUAUAUAUCGGAAAGUGGAUGACUCUGUAUUCACUGCAGGAAAGCGAAGUGGAGUAGCCCUCGCUCAAUUUGUCGUGUACAAAACCUGCGAAUUCGUUAGUAAGAAGCGGCCAGAUUCCUCGGCAACAUACGCCGCGAAAGUGAACCUUGAAGUGCUACCAGAACCCUUAGCAGAGGGAGGAGAGUCGACGAACACAGACGGAUCAAAGGCCGCGGGCAGAGACGUUCAAAAGUGUUUCUUUUAUGCCAGUCCUCCUCGUGUGGAUGUGUUAAUUCAAUCCAACGAUGAGGCCGUUGCUGUUCUUGAGCUCAAGAAUGGAGGUCUGGGAUGUCCCGUGCCGAUCUACAAACUGUGGACAAGAUGCUCAUGUCAGACAGGAAUCGACCCCAACUGCUGGUGCCAUACUAACAUCUCGAAAGGACAUGCCAGGAGUAUUCUCAAUUGCAGUCUGCAGGUGUAUGAAUACCUGGUUUUGUAAGCAGUUCAUUAACCUACCUCGGGAUUAUUCGGGUGGGGCUAGCUCAGCUCAGAGCUCAGUGUCGCCAGGGACGUGUCUUAAAUUGAAAUGGUCUACAGAUGAGAAGCUGAUGAGUAGUGUGAGGUGGUCCUCAUCCUACGUUCUUUUCCCUCGAGUUGCAGGGCGAAGGUUGGGUAUGGCGUUCUCACCGAUAUCCAGAACUGGUAUCUC